GUCAAAAUCUAGAACGUCCUAUUAACCUAUGACCUUGACCUCUAUUUCAAGGUCACAAACCAAGGACCUCAAAUCAAAAGACUAUAAGUCUUAUUUAUAGUUGGUUAAUGAGUUAUAUCACCAUACGCGUAUUUUUUAAUACAAGAGGGGAGAAAACUCCCUUUUACGUUCAACGUACCCUUGCAAUCAAAAUUUACGUGUAACGACAUGUCGCAAC
rnacentral:lncRNA from 1 species